AGGGGGCGUCCCUCUGACGUAAUGGCAAAAUAAAAUUGAUUGUAUAAAUGUGUUCCCAAGAUCUCAAUAACAGAACUGCAGAGCAACUUCAGAUGCAAGAAAUGAAUGUCCCCCCACAUGGAGCUCAGCCUUAUGAGAACAGCCUCUACAACUCAGAGUCUCUGAACCUGGACCUUACCUCCAGGUUAGCUAUGGAUGUAAGUAGUCAUACGGACCAGCUCUCUGCCCCUUCUCUGACUAGCAUCAACUCCCUGGUGGGCACUUACGCUGGAGAUUUUAAUGCCUGUCAGAUUGCCACAGCUCCUACCACCGCCUCGGACCCUGAGCUGCCCUUCAAAAUUGAUGACUUCCAGGUUUACGGCUGCUACCCUGGCACCUUGGCCCUGAGCUACUUCGACGAAGCCCUGUCUUCUGGUGGCUCUGACUUUUUCGGCAGCCCUGUGUCAGCCCAGUCUCCCUGUACUCCAGGUUUCCAGAACCAGCCUGCGUCAGUUUGGGACUCGCCCUUCGGUCCAUACUCUCCCAACCCGGGCAGCUGGGUGGCUGAUAAGACUGCAUUAACACAGCCAUCCUCUUUCUUCACCUUCUGUCCCGGCUCAGUUGAGGAUCUGUCUCCUCUGGGCCAGCCCCAGCUGGCUGAGCAAGACCCCUUCUCUCUGGGCCAUCAGCACCCCUCCCCCCCGUCCUUCUCCCCUCUAACCCAGGAGCCGGGCACCCUAGAUGUCUCAGGCCUCAUUGAAGGGAGAAUGUCUGCGAAACCGCACAGCCCUACUGAAAAUGAGGGUCUCUGUGCUGUUUGUGGGGACAAUGCCUCCUGCCAGCACUAUGGGGUUCGAACCUGUGAGGGCUGCAAAGGUUUUUUCAAGCGUACUGUACAGAAAAAAUCUAAAUAUGUGUGCCUUACCAACAAGGACUGUCCAGUUGACAAGCGGCGACGGAACCGCUGUCAAUUCUGUCGUUUCCAGAAGUGCCUGGCAGUAGGCAUGGUGAAAGAAGUUGUGAGAACAGAUAGCUUAAAAGGUCGAAGAGGUCGUCUGCCCUCCAAGCCAAAAGCAGUCCAGGGCCUAUCGUCUGCUGUGUCUCGAGUCGACAUCAUUGCCUCUCUUGUGAGAGAAUACAUUGAAUCAAACUCUGGUGUUGAGAAACUGGACUACUCCAAGUACCAGGAGACUGUGGCCAGUCUGUCAGAGAAAGAGGACACUUGUGACAUCAAACAGUUCUACAACCUCCUCACGGAGUCCAUGGAAGUGAUCAGGAAGUGGGCUGAGAGCAUCCCUGGGUUCACCGCCUUCUGCUCCGAGGACCAGGAGCUGCUACUGGAGUCAGCCUUCUUAGAACUGUUCAUCUUGCGACUAGCAUACAGGUCCAACCCUGAGACGGACAAGCUGAUUUUCUGCAAUGGCAUGGUGCUUCACCGGAUGCAGUGUAUACGGGGUUUCGGUGACUGGAUAGACUCCAUCAUGGACUUCUCCCAGAGCCUCCACCGCAUGAACCUGGACGUGUCAUCCUUCUCCUGCCUCACAACUCUGGUCAUAAUCACUGACCGCCACGGCCUGAAGGAUCCAAAGCGGGUGGAGGAGUUCCAGAGCCAGCUAAUCACCUGUCUCAGAGAUCACGUCUCCAGCUGCGCCCCUGACUCCACUGGGCCCAACUACCUGUCCCGACUUCUGGGAAAACUGCCCGAGCUACGGACUCUCUGCACCCAGGGCCUGCAACGCAUCUUCUAUCUCAAGCUUGAGGACUUGGUCCCACCACCCCCCAUAGUUGACAGAAUGACCAUGGACAUUCUGCCUUUAUGAGAGCGAGAUAAGACAAUACCGACUGUGCACUUGUGCUGCUAAAGCGACGAUAAAGGAACGUCAAAUGAUCAAGCGGUCUCAGUGUUGAGUAGGGACAAAUUAAGGAAACUAUGCUCCCAAAGAUUUCACAUGAAAGUACUGAAUUAUACUGUAAGAUUUAAAAAGAUAUGAAGCUAUUCAAGCACUAUCGUACUUGAGGAAAAACUGACCUCUCUCGUUCAUUAGCAAUGGCUGUAGUAUGGUGAUGAAAAUGUGUUAUAAUUGAAAUUGUUUUCCUUGUUUUAGUGCAGUAUUUCAGACUUAUGGCUUUGAGUGUGCACUAACUGUUAGUGUGCCACCAAUGAUCCACAACCAAAAUGGUAGACAGUGGUCAACGGUGGGAGAUGAGGUGGACGUGUGUCACACCCUGACCUUAGAGAUCCUGUUUAUGUCUCUAUUUUGGUUUGGUCAGGGUGUGAGUUGGGGUGGGUAUUCUAUAUUCUAUUAUUUGUAUUUCUAUGUUUUGGCCCGGGUAGGGUUCUCAAUCAGGGACAGCUGUCUAUCGUUGUCUUUGAUUGAGAACCAUACUUAGGUAGCCCUUUUAUCCACCUGUCUUUGUGGGAAGUUGACUUUUGUUUAUGGCACAUAGCCUGUUGCGUCACGGUUCUUUUGUUGGUGUCAUUGUUUAUAAUAAAUGAAAAUGCACGCUGCACCUUGGUCCACUUCCUUCAACAGCUGUGACAUAACUUCCCACCACCAAAGGACCAAGCAGCGCGUGGUCAGGAGGAAAGGACACGAUGGAAACCUGAGAGGCAGCCCCCAAAAAUUUGUUUGGAGGGGCAGAUGACGUGGGCGUCUGUGCUGAGGGGUGAGUCCGAGACCAAGGAGGAAUUCUUGGACCAUUUUGAGUGAAGAUUGGUUGGCAGUGGAGAGGGACGAAAGAGUUUGGAGGGGUUGGAGUCUUGAGCAAGACAGUCACUUUGAGGAGCAUGUGACCCUUCAGGCACCAUGCUUUGCGGUUACAUGUACUUUGUCGCCGGUAUGCAUCCACAGCCCAGUGCGUCCUGUGCCAGCAUCCCAUAGUUGCCGGGCUAGGGUAAGCAUUCAGCCAGGAUGGGUUGUGCCAGCUCUGCGCUCCAGACCUCUGGUGCAUCUAUAUACCCAGUAUAUCCUGUGCCAGCUCCACGCACCCGGUCUCCUGUACGUCUGCCCAGCCCGGUAUUCCUGUGCCUGCUCCCAGAACCAGGCCUCCUGUGUGUCUCUCCACUCCAGCGACGAUCCAUGGCACGAAGCCUCCAGUGACGAUCCAUGGCACGAAGCCUCCAGUGACGAUCCAUGGCACCUCCAGUGACGAUCCAUGGCACGAAGCCUCCAGUGACGAUCCAUGGCACGAAGCCUCCAGUGACGAUCCAUGGCACCUCCAGUGACGAUCCAUGGCACGAAGCCUCCAGUGACGAUCCAUGGCACGAAGCCUCCAGGGGGUACUGUCACGCCCUGACCUUAGCGAUCCUGUUUAUGUCUCUAUUUUGUAUUAGUUGGGUAUUCUAUUAUUUGUAUUUCUAUGUUUUGGCUGGGUAGGGUUCUCAAUCAGGGACAGCUGUCGCUCGUUGUCUCUGAGAACCAUACUUAGCACUUUUAUCCACCUGUCUUUGUGGGAGGUUGACUUUUGUUUAUGGCACAUAGCCUGUAGCUUCACAGUUGUUUUCUCAUUUGUUUUGUUGGCGUCAUUUUUUUAUAAUAAAAGAAUGUAUGGUCGCCACGCUGCACCUUGGUCCACUUCCUUCAACAGCCGUGACAACGUGGUUUAUUUACACAGCUUCAGUAGUGUAUCAGAGGGAAUAUCUACAGAAUAGUUUUUUUUAUACAUAAUAUUUUUAUAUCAACUUGGCAAACAAACCUUGUGUGAGAUCUGCUAGAUAACUUAUGUAGUUAAGUGGCUUCACUGCAAGUAGUAUAUUGUAUGUUUUAAACAUUCAAAAUGUAUAGAUAUUUUUAAAAGACCAUGAACCAAAAGCAGACUGUUAACAACUUAAAUACCACCAUGCUGUGCUAUAAUUGAGGGCCUAUACAGUAGAUUCUGAUCAACAUAAAGGAAUGUAUUACAUUUACACAUGCCCUAUGACUGCAUCGUCUUACUAUAACAUCAAAGUCCGUAUAUUAUGCCUUAGCUAUGGUCUUUUUAAAAUUCAUGUUCAAGAUUGUACUUGUUUUAUAAUGGUGUUAUUGAAUAUGCACAAUGAAUCGACUGUAGCAUUGUGACUGAAACAUGUAACAAUCAUAAGGAAAUCUGAGAAGGUUCCCUGACCUACCAAUUGGAGAUAGUGUUUAUUAUCAUGAAGAUUAUGCUAUUUGUCAGUAAUGUUGUGCAAAUAUCACUAAUAUGGCAGCUAUGAUUGAACAGUUUAAACAAAUAUUACAAUUAUUGGUUUUUGCGUCUAUGAAUAUUAUACAUAGCUUAUUGUGUCCAUUGUGACUUUCUGUGUAAUACCUGACAAUGUCUUUAAAUUAGCAUGGGUUACUUAAAGCCACAAUCUGCAAGAUGUGCAGUCAUGACAUUUACAGAUGUAAAGAGCACUUGAUUAUAAAAUUAAAGUGCUCAAGAAAUGAUCAACUUGAUUUAAA